rnacentral:rRNA from 1 species
GAUGAACGCUGGCGGCGUGCCUAAUACAUGCCAGUCGAGCGAACGGACGAGAAGCUUGCUUCUCUGAUGUUAGCGGCGGACGGGUGAGUAACACGUGGAUAACCUACCUAUAAGACUGGGAUAACUUCGGGAAACCGGAGCUAAUACCGGAUAAUAUUUUGAACCGCAUGGUUCAAAAGUGAAAGACGGUCUUGCUGUCACUUAUAGAUGGAUCCGCGCUGCAUUAGCUAGUUGGUAAGGUAACGGCUUACCAAGGCAACGAUGCAUAGCCGACCUGAGAGGGUGAUUGGCCACACUGGAACUGAGACACGGUCCAGACUCCUACGGGAGGCAGCAGUAGGGAAUCUUCCGCAAUGGGCGAAAGCCUGACGGAGCAACGCCGCGUGAGUGAUGAAGGUCUUCGGAUCGUAAAACUCUGUUAUUAGGGAAGAACAUAUGUGUAAGUAACUGUGCACAUCUUGACGGUACCUAAUCAGAAAGCCACGGCUAACUACGUG